CACCUCUAGCAUUACCAGUAUUAGAGGCACCGCCUGCCCGGUGACAUACGUUUAACGGCCGCGGUACCCUGACCGUGCAAAGGUAGCAUAAUCACUUGUUCCUUAAAUGGGGACUUGUAUGAAUGGCUUCACGAGGGUUCGACUGUCUCUUACUUUUAACCAGUGAAAUUGACCUGCCCGUGAAGAGGCGGGCAUAACAUAACAAGACGAGAAGACCCUAUGGAGCUUCAAUUUACCAGUGCAAAUAACAUACAACAAGCCCACAGGCCCUAAAUCACCAAACCUGCACUGAAGAUUUCGGUUGGGGCGACCUCGGAGCACAACCCAACCUCCGAGAAACACAUGUUAAGACCUCACAAGUCAAAACGAACUUCCACACACAAUUGAUCCAACAACUUGACCAACGGAACAAGUUACCCUAGGGAUAACAGCGCAAUCCUGUUCUAGAGUCCAUAUCAACAACAGGGUUUACGACCUCGAUGUUGGAUCAGGACAUCCUAAUGGUGCAGCCGCUAUUAAAGGUUCGUUUGUUCAACGAUUAAAGUCCU
rnacentral:rRNA from 1 species